rnacentral:lncRNA from 1 species
UUGAACAAGAAGCGGCGCACCUCUCUGUUCUUGAGCUAAAAGAAACGAACACCCUCCCCUUCUUCUUCUCUAUUCCCUCCUCACAUUACCCUCUCACCCUUCAACACCACCUUACACACACACACACGAGAAAAUGGCUAAAUAAUAGAUUGAGAUUUUGAGAAAUCAAAUCAAGAUCUGAGAGUUUAGGAGCUCGAAAAAAAUACAAAGGAGCAUAGACGAGUUUUUAAAGUUCAAAUCUGUUCUCCUGGGUUUACAAGAGCUGUAGAGGAUUAUUAAGUGCCCCUGCUGUUGUUUUGAAAUUGGCUGAGCUUUGUCCGUUAAUUUCUGGCUUUAAUUGGGUCUUCUCAAUUACUGUUUUCCUGAGAUAAAGGUAAACAACAUGAACUUUUGUAUGUUUCUGCUUUUCAAUGAUAAUAAGCUAUGGAUUCCCAUCACAAACCUGACUUCGUAUGCUCGAUUCCAUGCCUUAUUCUUGUGAACAUUGUCAUAUAUGUUCCAUCUUCGUUUUUCUUUUAAUGGCUAUCUCUUUUCAUCUGUUUUCUAUGGUCUUAGAUCUGGAGUUCGAUGCUAGUUCGCUCUUUCGAGAUUCAUGACUAAUUUUUAACCAAUUGUAUGAUUGAUAUUGAUUCCCUUUAUUCUUGCAAUUAACAUAUUUACUUCAUUUUUAAAUUUACAUUUCAAUUUAUUUAAUCUCCCAUGACUAUUUUAAAUCCCAUGUUACCUCCUAGCCAUACACGAUGAAGUAAUUUUCUUGUGGUAAAACUGAUUAAACAUGUGCUCUUCCUUGUUAGAAUUCUAGAGUUAGUAAAGUGUCAUGUGUUCGGAAUCUGUAUUUCGUCCCUAAAAUUUGAAUGCCUAUGCUCAAGUAUACUUUGCUUUAUUUGACCGAAUUUGGAAGCUACUUGGGCAAUAUGAUCUAAAACUACACCGGAGCCAUGUUUACUAGAUAUAUUUAUUUUUUGGAACCAUGUUAACAUCCGAACUUUAGAAUACUCAAUGACAAUUGGCACGCACGAAAGCUCUUUAAACCUUAAGCUCUUUGGAACCGUGUGACUCUUUGAGGGGUUCUCAAUAAUUUUCCAUUUGAUAUUCUUCUCUUCAAACCUCAAGUUUUGUUUCAUGGUUUCUGCAAUUGUCUUGUGGGUAUAUUUGCAUGGCCUCACAACAAUCUUGAACUUAGGAAAUGAAUAAUUAUGAACAUGCGCUAGUUUCCAUUUGUGUUGUUCAUUGUUCUUUAGUUUUCUGUUGAUUUGAUAUGCUAAAUAUCUGUUUCGAUCAAGUGGUGGAAAAUUUGUUUUGAAAAACUGAUUAGCAUCCGAGAGAAUGAUGUGCGUUACGUACUUCUUAGAGAUUGAAGUUUGUUUGCUUUAGUCAAAGAUUGAAGUUUGUAUCUUAGCCCCUUGUCCUACAUGUAAUGGUUCAUUAGUUUUAGAAUGACAAUUAGUAGACAAAUAUGAAAUAUUGUAAUGCUCACAACAGGUACUAGAUUGAUCAAGUAGUAAGGUACAUAAUUCUUUUUAUCAAGAUUUAGACAUCAGUUUGUUAAGUUGUUUUUUAUUUUAUUUUAUAAAAUCAAGAUUUAGAGAAUCAGUAGCAAGUAUAUGAUGGCUAAUUGUUUAGUUGACUAUUAAGCUACCUAAGCAUUAAUAUAUAAGUUGUUUCUGUUUGUGCUUUAUGAAAGAAAGACGUGUGCUUUGAGCUGAUUCCAUCAUUCUUUUUACCUGUUAUGAUUUGAUUUAUCUAUAAAAUUGACUGUUUUAAACCAUAGACUGAGUUGGAUUCAUUUUUUGCUAUACAUGAAUAUCCCAGUAAGAUUUGUUUAUUGCUAUCAUGCUAUGUCAUUUCUCUUCUUUUUUUCCCUCUCACACGGACAAUCCAAAAUGUUUGAUUUUCUUCAUUGGAUCUCACUGUGUUUAUGUAGUGGUAGUGGUUUCUUUUUUAGUUUUAUGAAAACAUUUAAAGAUAUUUUGUUCAUGUUUUUGGAAUUCUUGAGAGGUUAAGUACUCAAAAUUUGACAUUUCUUAUUCUUAAUUCUUGUGGUUAUUUUGCAGCCAAAGAGAAGUUGAAAAUAUUUGUUGUGUAACAUCGAGUAAGUAGUUUAUACACCAGUACUUAUUUCUUAUUCUUCGGGGGUAAAUUUAUUAGAAAUUUACUUAAUUAAUCUAAAAAUGCAAAACUAAAUUCUAAAUGCAGAUGUUAUAUUUUUGUAUUUUCAAUGCAUUAAUUAAAUAUGCACAAAAUAUGCAAACACUUAAGCAAAUUACACAGUAAUUCCUAAUUUUAACAAAUAAUUAGAUAAAAAUCUAAUUUGAAAGACUGAUUAGCAUCCUUUGUUCUACAGGCGGGUUCCUGAUUACUCGAACUUGAAUUGCUUCUUCCUUUCGUUCUCCAGGCGGGCUUCUGACUACUUGACAUUUGGAUUGUAUUCCUUUGUUCUCCAGGUGGGCUCCUGAUUGCUAAAACUCGAAAUGUAUUCCCUUAUUCUCCAGGUGGGCUCCUGAUUGCUAGAUUUGAAAUGUAUUCCCUUGUUCUCCAGGUGGGCUCCUGAUUGCUAGAUUUGAAAUGUAUUCCCUUGUUCUCCAGGUGGGCUCCUGAUUGUUGAAACUUGAAAUGUAUUCUCUUGUUCUCCAGGUGGAUGCCUGAUUGCUGAUACUUCAACUGUUGUUCCUUGUUCUCCAGGUGGACGCCUGAUUGUUGAUACUUCAAUUGUUCUUCCUUAUUCUCCAGGUGGAUGCAUGAUUGCUAAUAUUUCAACUGUUAUUCCUUGUUCUUCAGGUGAACGUCUGAUUGCUGAUAUUUUAACUGUUUUUUCUUGUUCUCCAGGUGGACGUCUGAUUGCUGAUAUUUCAACUGUUUUUCUUUGUUCUUCAGGUGGACCGCCUGAUUGCUAGUAUUUGGUCAUGCUCUUAUCUUUAACAUCCGUGUUGUUCUCC